CAAAGCCUGACUUUGAGUGUUUGGUGAGCAGACCUGCUAGCUACUGGUGUGAACCAGAAACCCAAUACCCUGGUAGAAGUGUGGACUUGUGUGCACAUGCACACUGCCUGCCUGAUAUUGUGAUCAUCUUCAAGUAGCUUUCUGAGCGUCUCUUCAGGAUGCGCCGUUUUGUGGGCGGUCUUAUUUACACCUUUGUCUCCACUGGAAGUAAUCAUUCAGAAUCCUCAGUUUACUUUCAAACCAGAGGACAAUACCGCCGUGAAGAUGGACCGCGCAACUUCUGAACGAGUCACGGCAGAGGACGCUAUUAUUAUUUGCGACGCUAUUCGGCCAUUGGGGAAAUGGAACAAGAGAGAGCAAUCAUGUCAUUGUAAAUCAACAGAACUGUUAAAUAAUUAUUGUUAAUUAACGAUAUGCUGGUGUUAAUCUGUAUAGUCAUGAUCAGAGUUCACAAAUGUUUGUAAACAUAAAGAUUAUUGAAUGAGAAGUGUGUGCAUGAGAAAACUAUGGGUCGGAAUUGAACCUGUUGUUGGCACAAGAUUGGCAAUUAAAGUUAA